ensembl:snoRNA SNORD115 Small nucleolar RNA SNORD115
GGGUCAAUAAUGAGAACUUUAUAUUGUCUAGAACAGAGGUGGUGACUUAAAAAUCAUGCUCAAUAGGAUUACGAUGAGGGCC